AGUUUUAAGAGUUUGAUCCUGGCUCAGGACGAACGCUGGCGGCGUGCCUAACACAUGCAAGUCGAACGAAGCUUGACGAAUGAUUACUUCGGUAUGAAUUCUGAUAUGACUGAGUGGCGGACGGGUGAGUAACGCGUGAGCAACCUGCCCUUCAGAGGGGGAUAGCGUCUGGAAACGGACGGUAAUACCGCAUAA
rfam:Eubacterium coprostanoligenes strain ATCC 51222 genome assembly, contig: EI64DRAFT_scaffold00001.1